UUAGCAUACAGUGCUGACCUAGUUCCCUGUAGCAUCCCAAAUAGGUAGUCACCACAUGUGACACCAGGUUCAAGUUCCCAAUCAUGACCAGGAGGUCUAUCACGUAGCACUUCAAUAAAUGUCACAAAGAAAUUGUGCACACCCUCUCUCAGUUGUUGAAUGUAGGCAUGUUGAUCUGUGCUCCCUUUAUUUCCAUAGACUGUAAGUCCUUGAUUCACCCGAUUACCAUCAAGGUCAAACUCCUUCCCAAGUGAUUCCAUGACCAAUUGCUGCAAAUACCUACUAAAUAAUAAUAGGCUGUCCUUGUAUGGAAGGACAACCAUGUCCUUAGAUCCUAUCCCAUCAGAGGCCCAGUACCAACACAAAGCUAGCAUAGCUGCAGGGUUAUCCCUAAGCACAGUGGUCCUAUUUGCCUCAUCCAUCAAUGAUGCACCAGCAAGCAUUUCUCUAAUGUCAAUCCCCUGAAGAGCUGCUGGAAGCAGGCCAACUGCAGACAUUUCAGAUGUCCUACCGCCCACCCAAUCAAACAUAGGGAAUCUAGCUAACCAACCCUCAAUUCUAGCAGUGUUGUCUAAUAAUGAAUUUUCUUGAGUGAUAGCAACUCCCUGUUUCGCAAAUUCCAGGCCAGCAUCACGGAAUGCCUUCUGUACUUCCAACAAACCAUUUCUAGUUUCAGGGGUACCUCCACUCUUUGAAAUCACUAUUACAAGAGUAGAAGCCAACUCAGGGCCAAGCUGAGCAAUCUGAUGAU
rnacentral:misc_RNA from 1 species